ensembl:lncRNA
AUUGAAACAAAAUUUACACCACCAUCUGAUCAUUCAAGACAAGGAUAUUUAAAAGUGAAGGAGGUAAAGGAUCCUAAGUGGAAGUGGGGCUUCCACACGACACAGUGGUAAAAUGUUGAUACCAGUAGACUCUUAAAAGUCAUAUAUGGAUAUUUGAACACCCAGAGCAACAACUAGGAUAACUGUAAGAGAUACACUCAAAAACAAUAUAAAUAAAUCAAGAUGGAAUCCUAAAAAUUGUUCAAGUAACCCACAGGAAAGCAGGAAGAGAGAAAGAGGAAUGAGAACAGAGGAAACAAGCAGAAGACAAACUAUAAAACGGCAGACUUACCACUAAAAACGACAAUUACCUUGAAUGCAAUUGGUCUAAAUACACCAAUCAAAAGACUGACAAUUGCAGAGUAGAUUAAAAACACAUAGCCCAACUGUGUGCUGCUUACAAGAAACUGACUUCAAACUCUACAUAAGUAGGUUGAAAGUAAAAGGAUGGAAAAGAUAUACCGGCAAACAUUAAUUUAAAAAAAAGAAAGAAAGCAAAAGUGGCUGUAGUUAUAUCCAAUAAAGUAAACUUCAGAGCAAAGAAAAUUUCUAGAGACAAAGAGGGACAUCACAUAAUGAUGAAAGGAUUGAUGCACUAAUAAGACAAGUGUACACACCAAACAACAAAGCCUCAAAAUACAUAAAGCAAAAAACUGAUACAGCUGAAAAGGAAAUUAAAUCCACAACUAUAGGGGCCGGCUCCGUGGCUGAGUGGUUAAGUUCGCACACUCUGCUGCAGCAGCCCAGGGUUCGGAUCCUGGGCGCGGACAUGGCACCGCUCGUCAGGCCACAUUGAGGUGGCGUCCCACAUCCCACAACUAGAAGGACCUGCAACUAAGAUAUAAUCAACCAGCAGGACCUACUUGACGUAUAUAGACCACUCCACCCAAUGAUAAUAGAAUAUGCGUUCUUUUUCAAGUACCAUGGAACACUGAAAAAGAUAAACCAUAUCCUGAACCAUAAAACUAACUUCAAAAAAUUUAAAAGAAUUGAAAUCACACAGAGUUUGUUUUCUAACCAUAAUGGAAGCAAACUAGAAGUCAAAAUAAUAAAAACAAUAGGAAAAUCUCUAUAAAUACAUGGAAAUGAAAUAACCCACUUGUAAAUAAUUCAUAGGUCAAAGAAGAAGUCUCAGAGAAAAUUUUAGAAAAUAUGUAGAACUGAAUGAAAACAAAAACACAACAUUAUCAAAAUAUGUGAGAUGCAGCUAAAGCAGUGCCAAGAAAUUUAUAGUUCUAAAUGCUUACAUUAGAAAUGAAAAGAGAUCUCAACACAGUAACCUAAGUUCCUACCUCAAGAAACUAGAAAAAGAAGGGCAAAAUAAACACAAAGUGACCAAAAGGAGGGAAAUAAUAAAGAGCAGAAAUCACUGGAAUUGAAAAUAGGAAAACAGAGAAAAUCAAUUUUAAAAAAUGUUGGUUCUUUGACAACAUCAAUAAAAUUGAUAAACCUGUAGAAAUACUGACAAAAAUAGAGAGACAACACAAAUCAAUAUCAGGAAUGAAAUAAAGAAUAUCAAUAUAAAUCAAGCAGCCAUUGCAAAGAUAAUACGGAAACAAUUUUACAGUCAUAAAUUUGACAACUUAGAAGAAAUGAUCCAAUUCUUGACAGCCACAAACUACUAAAACUCAACCAAAACUAAAAUUCAACUGAGAUGAAAUAGACAAUCUGGAUAUCCUAUAACCAUUAAAGAACUGAAAUUCAU